GACGAACGCUGGCGGCGGGCUUAACACAUGCAAGUCGAACGGAAAGGCCCUGCUUUUGUGGGGUGCUCGAGUGGCGAACGGGUGAGUAACACGUGAGUAACCUGCCCUUGACUUUGGGAUAACUUCAGGAAACUGGGGCUAAUACCGGAUAGGAGCUCCUGCUGCAUGGUGGGGGUUGGAAAGUUUCGGCGGUUGGGGAUGGACUCGCGGCUUAUCAGCUUGUUGGUGGGGUAGUGGCUUACCAAGGCUUUGACGGGUAGCCGGCCUGAGAGGGUGACCGGCCACCUUGGGCCUGAGGUACGGCCCAGACUCCUACGGGAGGCAGCAGUGGGGAAUAUUGCACAAUGGGCGGAAGCCUGAUGCAGCAACGCCGCGUGCGGGAUGACGGCCUUCGGGUUGUAAACCGCUUUCGCCUGUGACGAAGCGUGAGUGACGGUAAUGGGUAAAGAAGCACCGGCUAACUACGUG
rnacentral:rRNA from 1 species